CCCUCUCCCGCCCUUGGGACUGGACUGAAGAGGAGGGGAAGGAGCUGCUGGAAGCUUUAGGAGAAAGGCAAAGUUGGGCGUCUGAUUUCGCUUUUCAGCCGCCAGCUGGCUCCUGUCUCCCUGAGAACCUGGGGCCCGAGGGGAGUCAUUUUGGCUUUGGGAAGGGACAAAGAAAGAACACCAGAAUCUAAGCAUCUGGUGUGUGCUUGGAUAGAAAACAGCGGGCUGCGUUGUUUAGUAACUGCAGGUGCACUAGCAGGGACAAGCCCUCACUGUCCACUUUCUUGAGAAGGCCAGGGCUCUUGAUUCCUAUUCAGGGAGAACUUCAGAGUAGAAGUUGGGAGGGUCAGCAGGGCAGGCUCUGAGAGCCAGGACGUUAUGUCCUUAUAUGAGCACUGAUUUUAGAUAGGAAUUAGUCACUGAUUUGGGGAGAGAAGCCUGAUGAGACUAAUAUUUAACAAAUAUGCACCAGUGUGGUCUCAUUGGUUGUGUUUGGCCAGCAUUUAUUCGGACUGGCCACUGCCCAGGAUACUCUCACCACUGCCUGGCACCUGCCUUCUGUAAGGUCAGCUCUAUGACCCCCUCCCCCCACUUCCUAGGAAGCACCCUCUCCUUGGUCAGUGGGGCUUCCCAGAGGUAAGCUGAAGAUGGCAACCCAGUCCAGGUUUGGGUUCCAAGGAGAGAGCUCUGUGCUCCUCUCAGUCCAGAGCCUGAGGAAGCAGAGCUCACAGGCAGGCAUUCAAGUCCAUCCUGGUUCUCUUGGCAAGGUCUGGGAGGGACUCAAGUCCUGCAGGGACAAGAAUUGGGACAGGGUUCUGGACUUACCCAGGGCAAGGAGAGGAGGGGCCUUGGCAUAGCAGGAGGACCCAGUGGGGUCCACAAGAAGACCCUGGUCUAGGAGUGCUCUGGCUGGGGGCCGAGCAUAAAUCUGCCCCCGAGUAGCCUGAAAUUCCAAACUCAAGAUCCUCUGAGACUGUUUUGAUCAGUCUUACAUAGUAGCAGAGCCCAACGGCAGCAUAGUGGUUAGGUGCCUGAGUUUUGUAUCCAGACAGCCUGGGUGUGACUCUUACUGUGCCACUUACUGUUUGGAACAUCUUAAGUGACUGCCGCUCUCCAUGAUGGAUUUCCUCAUCUGGAAGGAUACCUAUCUCAAAGGGUAUUUUACAAAUUAGCGUUGUGAUAUACUUGGGACAAUAUGUGACUGGCAGUAAGAGCUCAGUAAAUAUUAGCUUCUGUUACUGUUUCAAGUUAAUCAGAUUGUUCUCCUCUUAAUGCAUAGUGAAGGCCACUAUAAAUGGGGAAUGAAACCUUUUAUGGGCAGAUGGUGAAGGAAAGAAAUGGAAGGAGGAAGAGAUGGGCCUUUAUUGAUGAAUUAAUGUAAAAGCCAGGGAAGUAGGUCCAGGGAAGGACCUGGGGCUCCCUAUGGGGCCAUCUUUGGACAACCAGAGGCAGUGUAAGGGAAGGUCAUGCGUGCUGAGUAGGGCAGGGGAGAAGCGUGAUUGCAAGCGAAGGGGCUAAAAAGGAGCGGUGAUUUAGGUCAGACAGACGUUCCCUCCUUCUUGUCAGAUGGCCUCUGACAUCUGAGUGAUGCCAGUGGCAGCUCCCUCCCUUGGCAGGCAUAACUGCCUGCUCCAUUGCCACCCAACCUUCCCUGGCCAUCACCCUGCUUUGCAGAGUCUUCUGAGUGAGAGUGAGUAGAAAAGGGAAGAGGCAGCUACUCAAGACCCCCCUCCUCCCCCACUUCCCUGGGCGGUACAGCAGCCAAGCUUCUCCCCUCCAACACCUUUAAACACUCUGCUAACUCUAGGAGCUACCUGCCCUUGAGGAUAACCAACUGUCGAACACACAAAACACAUUUCUCUCUGUGCUCUGGUUGCAGAACCCCCCACCACAGGUACCCUCUCUGAAGCAAAUGGCACCUUUGCUAUCCAUCUUUUAAAGAAACUAUGGGAAGAAAACCCCUCACACCAUGUGUUUUUUUCCUUCCCUGAAUGUCUCCUCUGCUUUGGCCAUGAUCUUCCUGGGGGCAAAAGGAAAUACCACUGCCCAAAUUGCAGACGGAGGAGGAAUUGUGUGUUGUCAUUAGAAUCAUUUACCAAAAGUGUCUGGGUUUCCUCCGUUCUAGCACAUGGCAGGAUUGUUUUCUUCUGGCUCCCUUGUGGGGCCAAAUGGCCAGUUCUGGCCUCUGGGUUAUGUGUAGAAGGGACACACACAGGAAUAUUAACCAACAGUUUGAGGUCCUCUAGAAUUCUUUUUGUCCAACAUGGUAUGGGCAACAUUUGUGAUGACAGCUACUCUACUGGCCUGGGUUCCCCAGUUUACCACCAACCUAUCCAUAAUGGAAAUACAGUCUGAAGAUUAAAUGACUCUUUUUUAUUUUAAGCCACCAAGAUUUGGGGGAUUAUUUGUUACCACAGUGUAACCAAGCCUAUCCUGACUGAUACAAUCACACAUUAGUUUUUUUCAUACCUUCAUAGAGCUGCUCACGAGGACUUCUUCCAGUACUAUUGGAAUGAGAAAGGAACUGAAAAAUGUGGUAGGACCUUGAAGAUAAUUUCCUCCAUGGCUCACUUUUCACAUAAACUCAGGGGUGUUGUUUCAUGGGAAGGCCCCAGGCUUGGAGUAAGUCAAUCAGCUCUUAAGUCUAGGCUCUGCCUCUGAUCCACUAAAGAACUUUCCUGAGACACAUAACUUUUCAGAACCUUAUAAGAGAUAGAUAACAGCAGUGUGGCUUACUGCCUCAUGAGACAUUUGUAAUCUAGUAAAAUAUGUAUGUGAAAGUGCUUUAUAAACUGUUUAAUAAUGUUUAUAUUAGCCAUACAAAUGUUGAUUGUAUAAUACUGAAGAUUUUUCUAGUUCAAAAAGUUUCUGUGACUGCAGAAGAGGUUUUUCAAGAAAACAAAUCCAAUUUUUACACUGGAAACCCAUAUUGUAGGUGGAGAAAGUGUUGGCUGGCCUGAGAAAUAGUUCUGAAGAUGGACAGAAUUAUACACCAGAUGUACAGCUUUAAGAGUGUGAGGACCUUCUGCCUCAUUCACAUUGGUUCCAUUUUGAGAGUCCUCUCUUGGAUGUCAUCUCUGCUCAGGUGAAUAACUUCCUUGUCCCUCCCUCUGCUCUUCAAGUUCCCGUCUGUAUGUCAUGGAAUUCCAGAAAGUCAGAGCUGGAAUGGCCACUGGAAACAUCUAGACUAGGGGUUCUCUUUGUUGGCUGCAUAGGAAAAUCUCCUGGGGAGCUAUUAAUGUUAUCUAGGCCUGGAUAUUUUCCUUUUUUUCAGAGUACUCCUUUGUAGUGUUUGACUUUUUAUCAUAAAUGUAGUUUUAACAAUAAACAUAAUUAAAUCAGUAAAAAGAUAAUGAUAUGCA